rnacentral:rRNA from 1 species
CUACGUGCCAGCAGCCGCGGUAAUACGUAUGUCGCAAGCGUUAUCCGGAAUUAUUGGGCAUAAAGGGCAUCUAGGCGGCCAGAUAAGUCUGGGGUGAAAACUUGCGGCUCAACCGCAAGCCUGCCCUGGAAACUAUGUGGCUAGAGUACUGGAGAGGUGGACGGAACUGCACGAGUAGAGGUGAAAUUCGUAGAUAUGUGCAGGAAUGCCGAUGAUGAAGAUAGUUCACUGGACGGUAACUGACGCUGAAGUGCGAAAGCUAGGGGAGCAAACAGGAUUAGAUACCCUGGUAGUCCACGCUGUAAACGUUGGGCACUAGGUGUGGGGGACAUUCCACGUUUUCCGCGCCGUAGCUAACGCAUUAAGUGCCCCGCCUGGGGAGUACGGCCGCAAGGCUAAAACUCAAAGAAAUUGACGGGGGCCCGCACAAGCGGCGGAGCAUGCGGAUUAAUUCGAUGCAACGCGAAGAACCUUACCAAGGCUUGACAU